CCUACGGGUGGCUGCAGUGGGGAAUAUUGGACAAUGGGCGAAAGCCUGAUCCAGCCAUGCCGCGUGUGUGAAGAAGGCCUUCGGGUUGUAAAGCACUUUCAGUGGGGAAGAAAGCCUUGGGGCUAAUACCCUCGAGGAAGGACAUCACCCACAGAAGAAGCACCGGCUAACUCCGUGCCAGCAGCCGCGGUAAUACGGAGGGGUGCGAGCGUUAAUCGGAAUUACUGGGCGUAAAGCGCGCGUAGGCGGUCUGAUAAGCCGGUUGUGAAAGCCCCGGGCUCAACCUGGGAACGGCAUCCGGAACUGUCAGGCUAGAGUGCAGGAGAGGAAGGUAGAAUUCCCGGUGUAGCGGUGAAAUGCGUAGAGAUCGGGAGGAAUACCAGUGGCGAAGGCGGCCUUCUGGACUGACACUGACGCUGAGGUGCGAAAGCGUGGGUAGCAAACAGGAUUAGAUACCCCAGUAGUC
rnacentral:rRNA from 1 species